rnacentral:rRNA from 1 species
AUUGAACGCUGGCGGAAUGCUUUACACAUGCAAGUCGAACGAUGAACCUUAGCUUGCUAGGGGGAUUAGUGGCGAACGGGUGAGUAAUAUAUCGGAACGUAUCCAAUAAUGGGGGAUAACUAGUCGAAAGCUUAGCUAAUACCGCAUACGCCCUGAGGGGGAAAGCUGGGGAUCUUCGGACCUAGCGUUAAUGGAGCGGCCGAGAUCUGAUUAGCUAGUUGGUGGGGUAAAGGCUCACCAAGGCGACGAUCAGUAGCUGGUCUGAGAGGACGGCCAGCCACACUGGAACUGAGACACGGUCCAGACUCCUACGGGAGGCAGCAGUGGGGAAUUUUGGACAAUGGGGGCAACCCUGAUCCAGCCAUUCCGCGUGAGUGAAGAAGGCCUUCGGGUUGUAAAGCUCUUUCGCAAGGGAAGAAAACUUACAUUCUAAUAAAGUGUGAGGCUGACGGUACCUUGAUAAGAAGCACCGGCUAACUACGUGCCAGCCGCCGCUGUAAGAC